UUUAAAGAUCAAAAACAAAAUGGAAGAUAAGAGUCCAGGAACAUACAAAGCAACCUUAGCCUAGUGUUUUCUGCUUCGCCUAGUAUUUAGAGUAUGCUUGCCUUGCUUUAGCCAAACCACUCAUACUGAUUCUCUUUUAGUCUAUCCAUAAAAGCAGAUUCAGUUUCAGUUGCAUCCAGGAACUUGCAUAAUCUGCUUAUGUUAUGCUUAUACUUGCUUUUUUACCUUGAAAGUAGUCUUAAAAAAGGAAAUUGUAACAGAUGUUUGUUGGACCUCUAUUAGUCAAUGAUAUCAGUCAUUGGUGUCCCCCAGCCCAUCCCCGAUGUUGUGUGCAGAGCAAUCUUGUCAUUCUAUUAAGUCUCAACUAUUAUUUUUGUAACUUGUCUUCCUUUACAAAGGCACUGCAGAGGCUAAGAAGACGCAUGGAAAAUCUAAAGAAACAUCACUGAACUUGUGAGGCCAGAUUUGAAGCUCAGAUGUCAGACACUGAGGUUGCCAGUACCUCUGAGGCUGCCAGUACCGCUGGGUCGAUAGUCCAUGUGUUGGAUGAUGCACCGCCAUUGAUCAGAACAGACAGCAUAUUCUUGACCAAAGCUAUGCUUGGAUACAAGACUGAUGACUCAAUAACCAGCAUUGACAACAGUGAAGAUGG